rnacentral:rRNA from 1 species
GAUCCUGGCUUAGGACGAACGCUGGUGGCGUGCCUAACACAUGCAAGUCGAACGGACGAGAGGAGCUUGCUCCUCAAGUUAGUGGCGGACGGGUGAGUAACACGUGAGCAACCUGCCCUUCGGAGGGGGACAACAGCUGGAAACGGCUGCUAAUACCGCAUGAUACAGUCUGGAGGCAUCUCCGGGCUGUCAAAGAUUUUAUCGCCGAAGGAUGGGCUCGCGUCUGAUUAGAUAGUUGGUGGGGUAACGGCCCACCAAGUCGACGAUCAGUAGCCGGACUGAGAGGUUGAACGGCCACAUUGGGACUGAGAUACGGCCCAGACUCCUACGGGAGGCAGCAGUGGGGAAUAUUGGGCAAUGGGGGGCCAACCCUGACCCAGCAACGCCGCGUGGAGGAAGAAGGCUUUCGGGUUGUAAACUCCUUUGACGAGGGACGAUAGUGACGGUACCUCGAAAACAAGCCACGGCUAACUACGUGCCAGCCGCAGC